AUUGAACGCUGGCGGCAGGCCUAACACAUGCAAGUCGCGCUGCGCGUCUGACGGGUGUGUAAUGCCUAGUCAUCUGCCUGGUAGUGGGGGAUAACGUCCGGAAACGCGCUCUAAUACCGCCUCCUAUCAGUUGAGCCUAGUUCGGUUUCGCUAUUUGGUGGGGUAAAGGCCUACCAAGGCGACGAUCCGUAACUGGUCUGAGAGGAUGAUCAGUCACACGGGAACUGAGACACGGUCCAGACUCCUACGGGAGGCAGCAGUGGGGAAUAUUGGACAAUGGGCGAAAGCCUGAUCCAGCCAUGCCGCGUGUGUGAAGAAGGUCUUCGGAUUGUAAAGCACUUUAAGUUGGGAGGAGUUAACAAAAGAAAAAGCAACGGCUAACUUCGUGCCAGCAGCCGCGGUAAUAG
rnacentral:rRNA from 1 species